GACGAACGCUGGCGGCGUGCUUAACACAUGCAAGUCGAGCGGUAAGGCCCUUUCGGGGGUACACGAGCGGCGAACGGGUGAGUAACACGUGGGUGACCUGCCCUCAGCUCUGGGAUAAGCCUGGGAAACCGGGUCUAAUACUGGAUAUGACUCCAUGACGCAUGUUGUGGGGUGGAAAGCCUUGUGCGGCUGAGGAUGGGCCCGCGGCCUAUCAGCUUGUUGGUGGGGUGANGGCCUACCAAGGCGACGACGGGUAGCCGGCCUGAGAGGG
rnacentral:rRNA from 1 species